rnacentral:lncRNA from 1 species
CCACUCCAAGAAUUCUACCUUUGUUGUUGUCACCAUAUGUUACAUGCCCGCUUUUCUUUGGAGAUAUGUGUGUAAAAUUUGAUGCAUCUCCAGUCAUAUGUUUUGAGCAUCCGCUAUCUAUGUACCACUUCUUUCUCAAAGAUACCUCUUCAUCACUUUCGUAACUUUUUGCCAUAAGGCAAAGAUUUAUCUCUUCAUUUUCAGAAUCAUCAGAGGAUUCCAAAUCAUUUUCAUCCCAUGUGAUGUAUGCUUUCUUUAGUUUCUUCUCACUAUGAUUUUUCUUUUCAGAUUUUUCCAUCUUUUUCUUGAAGAUGGAACAAUCAACCCUCAGAUGUCCAGGUUGAUUGCAU